rnacentral:rRNA from 1 species
GACGAACGCUGGCGGCGUGCUUAACACAUGCAAGUCGUACGGUAAGGCCCUUUCGGGGGUACACGAGUGGCGAACGGGUGAGUAACACGUGAGUAACCUGCCCACAACUUUGGGAUAACGCUAGGAAACUGGUGCUAAUACUGGAUAUGUGCUCCUGCUGCAUGGUGGGGGUUGGAAAGCUCCGGCGGUUGUGGAUGGACUCGCGGCCUAUCAGCUUGUUGGUGGGGUAGUGGCCUACCAAGGCGGCGACGGGUAGCCGGCCUGAGAGGGUGACCGGCCACAUUGGGACUGAGAGACGGCCCAGACUCCUACGGGAGGCAGCAGUGGGGAAUAUUGCACAAUGGGCGCAAGCCUGAUGCAGCAACGCCGCGUGCGGGAUGACGGCCUUCGGGUUGUAAACCGCUUUCAGCAGGGACGAAGCUUUUUGUGACGGUACCUGCAGAAGAAGCACCGGCUAACUACGUG